rnacentral:lncRNA from 1 species
GAGGGGAACUAAGAUGGCACGUAUAUGGGGUCGUACUGGUUGCAACUUUAAUGCUGCAGGCAGAGGUACAUGUCAGACUGGUGAUUGUGGUGGAGUCUUACAGUGUACCGGAUGGGGCAAACCCCCAAACACCCUAGCCGAGUACGCCUUGGACCAGUUUAGCAACUUAGAUUUUUGGGACAUUUCUUUAGUCGAUGGAUUUAAUAUUCCAAUGACUUUUGCCCCAACAAAACCUAGUGGAGGAAAAUGUCACGCAAUUCAUUGCACGGCCAAUAUAAAUGGUGAAUGUCCUCGCGCCCUUAAGGUACCUGGAGGAUGUAACAACCCUUGUACCACGUUUGGAGGACAACAAUAUUGUUGCACCCAAGGUCCAUGUGGCCCUACAGAGUUGUCCAAAUUUUUCAAGAAAAGAUGUCCCGAUGCUUAUAGCUACCCACAAGACGAUCCUACAAGCACAUUUACUUGCCCUGGUGGUAGUACAAACUAUAGGGUUGUCUUUUGUCCUAAUGGUGUUGCUGAUCCAAAUUUCCCCUUGGAGAUGCCUGCAAGUACUGAUGAAGUGGCCAAGUGAAUUUGAGUUUCUUCAUUUUAAAUCGCCUCAAUUAGUCAACUGAUCUCUACCGUAAUGAAAAAUCUUAAUAGCUCAGUUUUUUAAAUAUUCACUUUUACUUUAUUGAUAAGAGUUCGUAACAAACUUAAAGACCGGAAUAAGAGUUACAUCUCAUGUGUACUUUUGUCUUAGAUGUAUAAAACAACAGUGCAUUUGAAUUAUCGUUCUUUUUUUUUAAAAAAAAAAUAACUUUUAGAAAAGUAUUAAGCCUAAAUUAGACCAAUAAACAAACAAAAAAGUAUUGAUAAUGCCUCGAGAAUCAUUUCACGCUGUCAUGUAUAUGAGCCUCUUUAAAUCGACACUGAAUAUUUUUAGUGGCGACCAUAAUGUCACUGCAAGUAAUUAACUCCAUAAUUAAUGAUAAUUAAAUUUGCGACGAAAAUUAAUAACAAAUAGAUCUUAGGUUGCCAGUGAUAAUACAUAGGCAAUAUAUAUAUAUAUACAUAUAUUUGAUUUAGUAUCAAUUAAAUGAAAUUAUAAAUUUUAAUGAUAUCAAUACAAUAUAUAAUAUAUAAUACUGAUUUAAUAUGUAUUAAGCAAAAAUAAUCAACCUUAAUCAAUGGGAAAGGGUAUGGGCUGUAUUAUAUUUUAAGAGAAUAAUAUUUCUUGAAUUGAAUUGAAUAUAAAACAUGUAAUUAUUUGAAGUUUUUAUACGUCAUUAAUGUAAUUUUUCGUUUUUUUAAUUGAGAUUUUAGAUGCUACCUAAUUAGAUUAACUUCCCUUAUUUUAUUGAUUGCGAUCCAUAAAUUUCGCCUCCAAAUAAUACGCGUGAAACUUGAACACGAAAUAAAAAAUGACAAGAUAAGUACUCCAUUGAUUUUAUAUUAGUUAAUUAUUUUAGUAAAUAAAAAAAUAUUAAUUUAUUUUUCUUAUAUUAUUCUUGUAAUUGACUCUUUUGAAAGUGUUCAUAUUUAUUUAUAAAUUUUUAACUUUUUUAAAAAAGUGAAUUAAUAAAAUUAUUUUUUUUUUAUUUAUGAUUUUAAACAUCACACAAAAUGAAAAAUAAUUUAAUGGGAGUACAAAAGAAACUCUGUCAAUGAAAGAAAAAUAAUGGUUACUUCUUUUAAUUAAGUUAAGAAAAAGUCUUAUCACGUUAUACCAAAUAAAUUUGUCCCUAUGUUAUCCAUAUAUGGAUUGUAGCGGACCGAAAUUUCUCGAUUCUUAAUUAGAAAUGAAAAUUUGUAAAUCUUGAAAAUAAAAAAAUCUUAUAAAAAAUGCUAUUAAUUUGUAAAUUUAAAUUUAAUCAGGACAAAAAUACCUUAAUAUUAAAUAAGAAAUUGAAAAAAAUAAUAAUUAAAUAUUUAUUUUUAUAUAAAGUAAUGGAGUAAUUACUAGGCGGCUCUUAUAUGUUGAGCCACCUCAACCUUUACUUAAGUAUUUUUUCAAUAUUAUUCGUUUGAUUAGUCAAUUGUGAUAUUGAUAUUUGUGAUUAAUAUACAUAGUUUCAAAAGCCGCCACACCCCUAUAUAAACACCCUAACAAUUUGUCACUAAAUCCAACAACUUACAUUUAAAAAAAUAGUUCCACAAACAUGGCCUACUUGAGAUCUUCUUUUGUUUUCUUCCUUCUUGCUUUUGUGACUUACACUUAUGCUGCCACUUUCGAGGUACGCAACAACUGUCCAUACACCGUCUGGGCGGCGUCGACCCCAAUAGGCGGUGGUCGACGUCUUGAUCGAGGCCAAACAUGGGUCAUCAAUGCACCGAGGGGCACUAAGAUGGCACGUAUAUGGGGUCGUACGAAUUGCAACUUUGAUGGUGCUGGUAGAGGUUCAUGUCAGACUGGUGAUUGUGGUGGGGUCUUGCAAUGUACCGGGUGGGGCAAACCACCAAACACCCUGGCCGAGUACGCCUUGGACCAGUUUAGCAACCUAGAUUUCUGGGACAUUUCUUUAGUCGAUGGAUUUAAUAUUCCAAUGACUUUCGCCCCGACCAAUCCUAGUGGAGGGAAAUGCCAUGCAAUUCAUUGUACGGCUAAUAUAAAUGGUGAAUGUCCUGGUUCACUUAGGGUACCCGGAGGAUGUAACAAUCCUUGUACCACGUUCGGAGGACAACAAUAUUGUUGCACAC